rnacentral:rRNA from 1 species
GAUGAACGCUGGCGGCGUGCCUAAUACAUGCAAGUCGAGCGAACGGACGAGAAGCUUGCUUUUCUGAUGUUAGCGGCGGACGGGUGAGUAACACGUGGAUAACCUACCUAUAAGACUGGGAUAACUUCGGGAAACCGGAGCUAAUACCGGAUAAUAUUUUGAACCGCAUGGUUCAAAAGUGAAAGACGGUCUUGCUGUCACUUAUAGAUGGAUCCGCGCUGCAUUAGCUAGUUGGUAAGGUAACGGCUUACCAAGGCAACGAUGCAUAGCCGACCUGAGAGGGUGAUCGGCCACACUGGAACUGAGGCACGGUCCAGACUCCUACGGGAGGCAGCAGUAGGGAAUCUUCCGCAAUGGGCGAAAGCCUGACGGAGCAACGCCGCGUGAGUGAUGAAGGUCUUCGGAUCGUAAAACUCUGUUAUUAGGGAAGAACAUAUGUGUAAGUAACUGUGCACAUCUUGACGGUACCUAAUCAGAAAGCCACGGCUAACUACGUG